UACAGAGGUCUCAAGCGUUGUUCGGAUUCAUUGGGCGUAAAGGGUGUGUAGGUGGCGCGCUAAGUCGGGUGUGAAAUUUCGGAGCUUAACUCCGAAACUGCAUUCGAUACUGGCGUGCUUGAGGACUGGAGAGGAGACUGGAAUUCAUGGUGUAGCAGUGAAAUGCGUAGAUAUCGUAAGGAAGACCAGUGGCGAAGGCGGGUCUCUGGACAGUUCCUGACGCUGAGGCACGAAGGUCAGGGGGAGCAAAACGGGG
rnacentral:rRNA from 1 species